GAGUUUGAUCAUGGCUCAGAUUGAACGCUGGCGGCAGGCCUAACACGUGCAAGUCGAGCGGUAGAGAGAAGCUUGCUUCUCUUGAGAGCGGCGGACGGGUGAGUAAUGCCUAGGAAUCUGCCUGGUAGUGGGGGAUAACGCUCGGAAACGGACGCUAAUACCGCAUACGUCCUACGGGAGAAAGCAGGGGACCUUCGGGCCUUGCGCUAUCAGAUGAGCCUAGGUCGGAUUAGCUAGUUGGUGAGGUAAUGGCUCACCAAGGCGACGAUCCGUAACUGGUCUGAGAGGAUGAUCAGUCACACUGGAACUGAGACACGGUCCAGACUCCUACGGGAGGCAGCAGUGGGGAAUAUUGGACAAUGGGCGAAAGCCUGAUCCAGCCAUGCCGCGUGUGUGAAGAAGGUCUUCGGAUUGUAAAGCACUUUAAGUUGGGAGGAAGGGCAGUAAAUUAAUACUUUGCUGUUUGACGUUACCGACAGAAUAAGCACCGGCUAACUCUGUGCCAGCACG
rnacentral:rRNA from 1 species